ACCCGCUGAACUUAAGCAUAUCAAUAAGCGGAGGAAAAGAAACCAACAGGGAUUGCCUUAGUAACGGCGAGUGAAGCGGCAACAGCUCAAAUUUGAAAUCUGGCCUCUUUGGGGUCCGAGUUGUAAUUUGCAGAGGGCGCUUUGGCGUUGGCAGCGGUCCAAGUUCCUUGGAACAGGACGUCACAGAGGGUGAGAAUCCCGUACGUGGUCGCUAGCCUUCGCCGUGUAAAGCCCCUUCGACGAGUCGAGUUGUUUGGGAAUGCAGCUCUAAAUGGGAGGUAAAUUUCUUCUAAAGCUAAAUACUGGCCAGAGACCGAUAGCGCACAAGUAGAGUGAUCGAAAGAUGAAAAGCACUUUGGAAAGAGAGUCAAACAGCACGUGAAAUUGUUGAAAGGGAAGCGCUUGCAGCCAGACUUGCCUGUAGUUGCUCAUCCGGGCUUUUGCCCGGUGCACUCUUCUGCGGGCAGGCCAGCAUCAGUUUGGGCGGUUGGAUAAAGGUCUCUGUCAUGUACCUCUCUUCGGGGAGGCCUUAUAGGGGAGACGACAUGCAACCAGCCCAGACUGAGGUCCGCGCAUUUGCUAGGAUGCUGGCGUAAUGGCUGU
rnacentral:rRNA from 1 species